rnacentral:rRNA from 1 species
AAGUUGUGUAGUGCGAUCGGUGGAUGCCUUGGCACCAAGAGCCGAUGAAGGACGUUGUGACCUGCGAUAAGCCCUGGGGAGUUGGUGAGCGAGCUGUGAUCCGGGGGUGUCCGAAUGGGGAAACCUGGAAUGUCCGGAGUAGUGUCCGGUGGCCCUGCCCUGAAUGUAUAGGGGUGUGGGUGGUAACGCGGGGAAGUGAAACAUCUUAGUACCCGUAGGAAGAGAAAACAAGUGUGAUUCCGUGAGUAGUGGCGAGCGAAAGCGGAGGAGGCUAAACCGUGUGUGUGUUCAAGCCGGCAGGUGUUGCAUGUGCGGGGUUGUGGGGGCCUUGUGGUUCUGCUGCCGCAGGAUUGGCCAGUGAGAAAUGUUGCGUGAAGGUGAAGCGUCUGGGAAGGCGUACCGGAGUGGGUGAGAGUCCUGUAACUGUAAGCGUGGCACUGGUGUGGGGUUGCCCCGAGUAGCGUGGGACUCGUGGAAUUUCGCGUGAAUCUGGCGGGACCACCCGUCAAGCCUAAAUACUCCUUGGUGACCGAUAGUGGAUGAGUACCGUGAGGGAAGGGUGAAAAGUACCCCGGGAGGGGAGUGAAAGAGUUCCUGAAACCGGUCGCAUGCAAGCCGUCAGAGCCUGUGUGGUGAUGGCGUGCCUUUUGAAGAAUGAGCCUGCGAGUUAGUGAUGCGUGGCGAGGUUAACCCGUGGUGGGGGAGUCGUAGCGAAAGCGAGUCCGAUAAGGGCGUGAGUCGCGUGUUCUAGACCCGAAGCGGUGUGAUCUAUCCAUGGCCAGGAUGAAGCGUCGGUAAGACGUCGUGGAGGUCCGAACCCACUUCAGUUAAAAAUGGAGGGGAUGAGUUGUGGAUAGGGGUGAAAGGCCAAUCAAACACCGUGAUAGCUGGUUCUCCCCGAAAUGCAUUUAGGUGCAGCGUUGCGUGGUUCUUGUUGGAGGUAGAGCACUGGAUGGUCUAGGGGGCUUAUCGGCUUACCGAAAUCAGCCAAACUCCGAAUGCUGGCAAGCGUAGCGUGGCAGUGAGACGGCGGGGGAUAAGCUUCGUCGUCGAGAGGGAAACAGCCCAGAUCAUCAGCUAAGGCCCCUAAGUGGUGACUCAGUGGGAAAGGAUGUGGAGUUGCGUAGACAACCAGGAGGUUGGCUUGGAAGCAGCCAUCCUUGAAAGAGUGCGUAAUAGCUCACUGGUCGAGUGGUUCUGCGCCGACAAUGUAGUGGGGCUCAAGUACACCGCCGAAACCGCGGCAAUCAACAUGUGUUUGUUGGUUGGGUAGGGGAGCGUCGUGCACGACGGUGAAGCACCUGGGUAACUUGAUGGUGUGGAGUGUGUGCGAGUGAGAAUGCAGGCAUGAGUAACGAAUGAUAUGUGGAAAACAUAUCCGCCGUAUGACUAAGG